GUGAGGAAUAUUGCGCAAUGGAGGCAACUCUGACGCAGCCAUGCCGCGUGCAGGAAGAAGGCGCUACGCGUUGUAAACUGCUUUUAACCGGGAAGAAACCCCAGGACGUGUCCUGGGUUGACGGUACCGGAGGAAUAAGCACCGGCUAACUUCGUGCCAGCAGCCGCGGUAAUACGAAGGGUGCAAGCGUUAUCCGGAUUCAUUGGGUUUAAAGGGUGCGUAGGCGGAGCGUUAAGUCAGUGGUGAAAUCCUGCAGCUUAACUGUAGACUUGCCAUUGAUACUGGCGCUCUUGAGUGCGCUUGAAGUGGGCGGAAUGUGCCGUGUAGCGGUGAAAUGCUUAGAUAUGGCACAGAACACCAAUUGCGAAGGCAGCUCACUAAGGCGAUACUGACGCUGAGGCGCGAAAGCGUGGGGAGCAAACAGGAUUAGAAACCCGGGUAGUCC
rnacentral:rRNA from 1 species